rnacentral:tRNA from 1 species
GUCUCUGUGGCGCAAUUGGUCAGCGCGUUCGGCUGUUAACCGAAAGGCUGGUGGUUCGAGCCCACCCAGGGACG